rnacentral:rRNA from 1 species
GGGAGUUUGAUCCUGGCUCAGGACGAACGCUGGCGGCGUGCCUAAUACAUGCAAGUCGUACGCUUCUUUUUCCACCGGAGCUUGCUCCACCGGAAAAAGAGGAGUGGCGAACGGGUGAGUAACACGUGGGUAACCUGCCCAUCAGAAGGGGAUAACACUUGGAAACAGGUGCUAAUACCGUAUAACAAUCGAAACCGCAUGGUUUUGAUUUGAAAGGCGCUUUCGGGUGUCGCUGAUGGAUGGACCCGCGGUGCAUUAGCUAGUUGGUGAGGUAACGGCUCACCAAGGCCACGAUGCAUAGCCGACCUGAGAGGGUGAUCGGCCACAUUGGGACUGAGACACGGCCCAAACUCCUACGGGAGGCAGCAGUAGGGAAUCUUCGGCAAUGGACGAAAGUCUGACCGAGCAACGCCGCGUGAGUGAAGAAGGUUUUCGGAUCGUAAAACUCUGUUGUUAGAGAAGAACAAGGAUGAGAGUAACUGUUCAUCCCUUGACGGUAUCUAACCAGAAAGCCACGGCUAACUACGUGCCAGCAGCCGC